rnacentral:lncRNA from 7 species
AUGGGUCUCUGUGAGUUUUUCCUGCAGUGAAGAUAGCAUAUUCCUCCUGAUGCUUCAAAGUUGUCAUCUGCUUUUGAUCUAAGGAAGAUUUCUUUCUGUUCCUUUGUACUAAUGAUAUCUCAGAUGGUACUCCCACUGAAACUUAGUACUAAAAAUUCUGUAUAUGAAGCAGGAAUAAUACUAAAUUUUAAUUGUAACAAGUAUACCAACUGAAUAUUAAAGGGGUAUUUUCUGAUUAUGGUACUUACGUGGCUGGUGUAUAUGGAAUUAAGUUUUGUGGUUGCCAUUUUCAAACAUUUAAAUCUCAUUGAAACUGUUAUCUGUCUGACUGUUUUCUGUCACAGUGGCUUUAGUACAACCUCAAGUUGCUCAGCACUUUUGGAACAAAAGUCCGUACCUAAAUGGAGACUUAAGAAACUACUGUAAGCAUUGGGAAUUUUCUGUUCCCUAAUCAGGCUUUUUAUGUAUUACACACUUGAAUACAUGUAAGGCCAUUUACAAUUUAAUAUCCCAUCCAAGGUAAUCUGUCAAUAUAUGUAAGAGAAUGUUUUAUUUCUUAGUGCAUUACUUUCUAAAAUAGACCACAAGUUUAAAGUCUUGUAUACAAAUGAAUUUAUUUCAGAACUGGAAUAAGUUCAGUCUAUUGUUUGCCUACCAUUGAAAUCCUGGAACUGUCUCAUGUAUUUCUGAAGUGAACGUGUGGAGUAUUAUGGCCUCCCAUGUGCUGAGGAAACCCAAUCCAGUGCCCAUGAGACAUUACUGUAAAAUUGGAAUGUAAAAUGUAAAUAUAUUUAUUAACAAAGGCAUUUGCCUUCUACUUCUGAAGCUGUUUUUAUAACCUUUUACCUUGUCCACAUCCAAGCUCAUGUACAGUAGAUAGAUGCAAAUCUUUCUGUAUGGAUUAGGAUGUAAAUUUUAUAACUUAUUUUUCAUGUUCAGCCAAUUUUUAUGGAUCAAUGAGGUAUUUAAGCUACAGCCUAACACAACUUCUUGUUGUUGUUUAGUUUUAUUUCUUGGUGCUCUGAAAACUGAGAGAAAAGCCAAUCAAUUGUUUUACAGAAAUGGAUAGCUUUGAAAAUAUUAGAUUUGUCCUAGACCCAGUGCUGGAGAGAGACAGGCGGUUAUCUCCUUAUCUAAUCCUUCCUUAGUGCUACAUGUUUUUAGACAUCAGAUUUAUUCAUACUGUGGAUGAACUUGGAAUGCUGAAGCUGUUUCUGAAGACUUAAAAAAAAAAAAAUCUUUACAGUAAUCUUAAUUUUCAAUAAAACUAG